rnacentral:rRNA from 1 species
GACGAACGCUGGCGGCGUGCUUAACACAUGCAAGUCGAACGGAAAGGCCCUGCUUUUGUGGGGUGCUCGAGUGGCGAACGGGUGAGUAACACGUGAGUAACCUGCCCUUGACUUUGGGAUAACUUCAGGAAACUGGGGCUAAUACCGGAUAGGAGCUCCUGCUGCAUGGUGGGGGUUGGAAAGUUUCGGCGGUUGGGGAUGGACUCGCGGCUUAUCAGCUUGUUGGUGGGGUAGUGGCUUACCAAGGCUUUGACGGGUAGCCGGCCUGAGAGGGUGACCGGCCACAUUGGGACUGAGAGACGGCCCAGACUCCUACGGGAGGCAGCAGUGGGGAAUAUUGCACAAUGGGCGGAAGCCUGAUGCAGCAACGCCGCGUGCGGGAUGACGGCCUUCGGGUUGUAAACCGCUUUCGCCUGUGACGAAGCGUGAGUGACGGUAAUGGGUAAAGAUGCACCGGCUAACUACGUG